UACGUAGGGUCCGAGCGUUGUCCGGAAUUAUUGGGCGUAAAGAGCUCGUAGGCGGUCUGUCGCGUCGGCUGUGAGAACCUGGGGCUCAACUCCAGGCCUGCAGUCGAUACGGGCAGACUAGAGUUCGGUAGGGGAGACUGGAAUUCCUGGUGUAGCGGUGAAGUGCGCAGAUAUCAGGAGGAACACCGGUGGCGAAGGCGGCAUCCUGGACCGGCAUUGACGCUGAGGCGCGAAAGCCAGGGGAGCAAACGGG
rnacentral:rRNA from 1 species